rfam:Triticum aestivum genome assembly, contig: Triticum_aestivum_CS42_TGACv1_scaffold_515176_6BS
UCCUCAAUAGCUCAGUUCGGUAGAGCGAUCGGCUGUUAACUGAUUGGUCGUAGGUUCGAAUCCUACUUGGGGAG